GUGCUCACUUCGGCAGCACAUAUACUAAAAUUGGAACGAUAUAGAGAACAUUAGCAUGGCCCCUGUGCAAGGAUGAACUGGCGUCAGAUGGGGGAGGAUUGCCACUUAC